GUACUUGCUUCAGCAGCACAUAUACUAAAGUUGGAACUUUAAUGAGAAGAUAAGCAUGGCUACUGCUCAAGGAUAACACAGAUAUUCAUGAAGUGUUCUAUAUUUUU
ensembl:snRNA Gm25061 predicted gene, 25061